rnacentral:lncRNA from 1 species
GUUUAUGUGAACCUAUUUUUUUUUUGGUCCGUUCGUAAUAGAAUGACCUCUUUGUAAAUAUGAUAAUAAUUUAGCUUAAACUUACAAUUCUAAACUUAAUGCAAAACUUUAAUUACCACACAAAUACUCUGGAAUGCCAUCUGUGUCCAGUUUUACCUAUCCUAGAUCAGGUUUGCACCAUUUUAGAGUAUUGCUUGUACAUCAAUGUGAGAAUUUCUCCAAGGAAUGCUUAGUUUAUAUUCUAGAAAUUUCUUUCCAAUGCUGAUGUGAAAGGAUUUCAAAUUUUGCUUUUUAGUCUCGAAGUUGAUGGUUUCUCUUUGCUGAAUCGGCUGCAGCAGCGGGCUUAUUUUUCUAAUUUUGUUCUUUUAUUUAUUUUCCUCAAGAAGAUAGUUCAGUAUGAGUUCCUUUCACAUAAAUUUCAUGUUGCCACUAUCAAGAAUGAUUCUAGGAGUAAAGCCAGUUCUACAAUCAACUUUUUUGUAGUUGUAGCUAGGAAAAAAUGUUUAAUAAAGGGAUUGUACUCACCUUCUUGCGAUGGAGGAGACAAACCAUCAGCUUGAGUGAAUCUUUUAAAACACUUUUUUGUUGUUUGCAUGUACCACUUUGUAACAUUUGAUCUUGAUGUGUUUUUCGAAACCCUUUAAUUUUAUCCACUAUCAAAUCCUUGGCUUUCUGUAAUCCUUUCAUUUAAAGAAUGUGGAUUCUUUUCUGCACUGCUGAUGAGGUACACAAAUGAGGAUGAACAAAGUAGAAGGUUUCAGACGCAUACUUUUAACUCCUCAUUGCUACAUCUGAAGACUAUCAAGAUCAGCUUUUAUGGACCACUAAGUGAAAAUAGGUCUAUACAGCCAUUGGUGAAGUAUUUGCUCAAGCAUGCAAUCGUGCUAGAAACUGUAAAGAAUAGAAAAAAGGGUAUUAUUCGGAGACCUUCUGCUGGCCCAAGAUCAUUAGAUAAUAUUGGAGGAUUCAACUAAAGAAGAUGAAGCUUGAAGAGAGAAGAAAUGUUUUGUAAAGGAGAACUUUGUUUAGGAAGGAAGGC